rnacentral:rRNA from 1 species
UACGGAGGGUGCAAGCGUUAUCCGGAUUUACUGGGUUUAAAGGGUGCGUAGGUGGGCCCGAUAGUCAGUGGUGAAAUACUCUCGCUCAACGAGGGAACUGCCAUUGAUACUUCGGAUCUUGAAUGCAGUGGAGGCGGGCGGAAUGUGUCAUGUAGUGGUGAAAUGCUUAGAUAUGACACAGAACACCAAUUGCGAAGGCAGCUUACCAACCGCAUAUGACACUGAGGCACGAAAGCGUGGGGAUCAAACAGG